rnacentral:rRNA from 1 species
AUGAACGCUGGCGGCGUGCUUAACACAUGCAAGUCGAACGAAGCACUUAAGAUUGAUUCUUCGGAUGACGUCUUUUGUGACUUAGUGGCGGACGGGUGAGUAGCGCGUGGGUAACCUGCCUCACACAGGGGGAUAACAGUUAGAAAUGACUGCUAAUACCGCAUAACCCGAUAGGAUCGCAUGAUCCAGACGGAAAAGAUUUAUCGGUGUGAGAUGGACCCGCGUCUGAUUAGCUAGUUGGUGAGGUAACGGCCCACCAAGGCGACGAUCAGUAGCCGGCCUGAGAGGGUGAACGGCCACAUUGGGACUGAGACACGGCCCAAACUCCUACGGGAGGCAGCAGUGGGGAAUAUUGCACAAUGGGGGAAACCCUGAUGCAGCGACGCCGCGUGAGUGAAGAAGUAUUUCGGUAUGUAAAGCUCUAUCAGCAGGGAAGAAAAUGACGGUACCUGACUAAGAAGCCCCGGCUAACUACGUG